AGAGUUUGAUCCAGGCUCAGAUUGAACGCUGGCGGCAGGCCUAAUACAUGCAAGUCGAACGAGAAUCUUGUGCUUGCACAAGAGGAAAGUGGCGGACGGGUGAGUAAUGUGUAGAGAAUCUGCCCUGAAGCGGGGGACAACAGAGGGAAACUUCUGCUAAUACCCCAUAUGCGCGUAGUUGCAAUACUAUUCGUGAAAGAUUUAUCGCUUCAGGAUGAGUCUGCAUCUGAUUAGCUAGUUGGGGGUGUAAUGGACCACCAAGGCGACGAUCAGUAGCUGGUUUGAGAGGAUGAUCAACCACAAUGGGACUGAGACACGGCCCAUACUCC
rnacentral:rRNA from 1 species